GCUAGUGUGGUGUAGAGGUAACACAACUGACUUCCACUCAGUUAUCGCCAGUUCGAUUCUGGUCACUAGCUC
rnacentral:tRNA from 2 species